AUCGAACGCUGGCGGCAGGCUUAACACAUGCAAGUCGAGCGAGCGGCGGACGGGUGAGUAAUGUCUGGGAAACUGCCAGAUGGCGGGGGAUAACUACUGGAAACGGUAGCUAAUACCGCAUACCAUCAGAUGUGCCCAGAUGGAAUUAGCUAGUAGGUGGGGUAAUGGCUCACCUAGGCGACGCUCCCUAGCUGGUCUGAGAGGAUGACCAUCCAACCUGGAACUGCGCCACGUUCCAUACGCCUACGGUAGGCAGCGGUGGGGAAUAUUGCCCAAUGGGCGCAAGCCUGAUGCAGCCAUGCCGCGUGUGUGAAGAAGGUCUUCGGGUUGUAAAGCACUUUCAGCGAGGAGGCGUUACUCGCCGAAGAAGCACCGGCUAACUCCGUGCCAGCAGCCGCGGUAAUAC
rnacentral:rRNA from 1 species